AACGAACGCUGGCGGCAUGCCUAACACAUGCAAGUCGAACGAGAACUUCGGGUCUAUUGGCGCACGGGUGCGUAACGCGUGGGAACCUGCACUUAGGUUCGGCAUAACUCCCCGAAAGGGGUGCUAAUACCGGAUAAUGUCUUCGGACCAAAGAUUUAUCGCCUUUGGAUGGGCCCUCGUUGGAUUAGCUAGUUGGUAGGGUAAAAGCCUACCAAGGCGACGAUCCAUAGCUGGUCUGAGAGGAUGAUCAGCCACACUGGGACUGAGACACGGCCCAGACUCCUACGCGAGGCAGGAGUGGGUAAUAUUGGACAAUGGGCGAAAGCCUGAUCCAGCAAUGCCGCGUGAGUGAUGAAGGCCUUAGGGUAGUAAAGCUCUUUUACCCGGGAUGAUAAUGACAGUACCGGGAGAAUAAGCUCCGGCUAACUCCGUG
rnacentral:rRNA from 1 species